ACAUAAUAAACAUCUUGUAAAACAUUGCCAAUUGAUUAGGAUGCAUACAGUGUGCUAAGUUUCACUCUAAGAGACACUUACUGUUGACUUUAUCAUUGUGGCUUGACUUGUAAAUGCUGCAGAUGAUGGAUUCAGCAAGUCACUUGUAAAUGUCUGUCCAGCAGAUCUAAAAGUCAGCCGCCUUGUUGUGACUGCCUCAGCAGUUGUCGCUACAGAUGUAGUGGUUGUAGGAGUUGUUGUGGUUGUAGUUGCGACCGUUGUUGUUGUAGUUGUAGCAGCAAUAAUUGGAGUUGCAGCACUGGUCAUUGUAUUUGUAGCAGUUGUAGCUGUAGUAUUUAAAGUGGGGGCUGCAGUUGUUUCUAUAAAAACAUGUAGAACAAUGUGAAGAAAUAUGUAAAAAACACAUUGUGGCCAGAGGGCAUCUAUUGGACAAACAUAUACAUUACAAUAUACUGUACUGUAUGUGGUAUGUGGUAAUUAUGAUGAUAGUUGAGACAGCCAUUGAUGUUGACCCACCAGUUGGUGUGGAGGCACCAGUUGUCGUAGAUCCCCCAGUUGUUGUUGAUACUCCAGUAGCUGAUGUACCAGUUGUUGUUGAAGCUCCUGUUGUAGUUGAGGCAGCAGUUGUUGUUGACCCACUAAUUGUUGUUGUUGAACCUCCAGUUAUAGUUGACGCACCAGUUGUAGUUGAUGGAACUACUUUGAUGGAGUCAGUCUGAACAGAGAGGUUGAAAUUGUUGCUGGAGUUAGACACAGCUUCUAUUAAGGUGUCUGCCACAUCACCUGACUGUGGGAUAUCAGAAGAUGAUGCAGUAUUGUUGAACUCAACCCCCACCUCUGCUUCAGUAUUUUCCAUUCGUGUUCUGGUCACAGCUUGUCUGCAUCAAAAAAGCACACAUCAUAAUGAAAUUAUAUUAACAUUGAUAAUUUAUGUGUAACUAUUCCACUUUUUGCCAUUAAUAACAAUCCAGAAAGUAAAGCAAAGUCUCUUUAUAAGAAUUUAAAAUCUUACCUAAAAGCUAUGACAAAACUGCGGAUGAAGAGGAGGCCAUAUCUUUUCUUGUAGAUAACAUUAUACUGUGGGAAGGAAGCAAACAGGAAAAUAUAAACAAACAAAUACAUUAUUCUCCAAGUGAAAUUAAGAACUGAAAACUCUCUUAAAGGUGGGGUCAGUCAUUCUGGAGAAAGCCUGAACUUUCCCAGGUCAUUCAAAUAUGUGUCAAAUACUGGCACUUAGAGUUCCCAGGUCCUGCAAGCACAAAAAACACCUGUUUUAUUGUGUGACUUGCCCCAGGCCAUUUUGAUUCCCAUUUACCAUAACCCAAAGUGUUGGUAUUUGACAACCUGGGAAUGAGGCUCAAAUCAACUGGCUUUCUCCAGAAUAAGUGACCCCACCUUUAAUACACUUAGAAAGAUAAUGAGCUAUUGUACUCACCACUGCGACAACUUUUGCCUCAAGACUCUUAAAUUGUGCACUGUUUGAAUCUUUUAAUUCUUCUACAAAUGGUUCGACUAUGAUUGCUGCGAUAACCACAACUGGCUGGACAGGUGCAUUAGUUGUAGUAGUUGUUGUUGCUGUUGUUCCAACAGAUGUUGUUGAAGCAGAGGUUGUUGUGGAUCCAGUAGUUGUUGUUGAACCUCCAGUUGUAGUUGAGACAGCUGUUGAUGUCGACCCACCAGUUGU
rnacentral:lncRNA from 15 species